rnacentral:lncRNA from 1 species
CUUCUUCUUUGGGCUUGGGUUUGGGUGACACGGGGAUUGUCUGCGUAAACUCUUUGGAAGUCGCUAUCCAUCGUCAUCUGCCUUAGUCUCCGGCGUCCCGCUCUCAGCCCACCUCGGGUAGUCUGUGCUGUCCCUGUCCUGUCUGCUGUCGGGAUUCUCCCGGCUUCUGGAGCCCCGUACGCGGCCAGUUGCGGCUUCAACUCUCUCCUCAGCCUUUCAACUAUAGAAUUACAGCUGUGUACCCAUGAUUCUUCAUUAGAAUGGGAACAUUUCUAGUCUUAGUCCUGUUUUAAGAUAACUUUCUUCUCAGAAAGUUCCAUAAGUAAUUUUUUUGUUGUUCAAUUUUGUUAUGAUCUAUUUUCCUUUUAAAAUAGCCUUUGUAUUCUUGGUCGUUAGAUGGCUGUUGGAUGACAGGAUGAGGGUGAAGAAAUAACAAGUAAAUGCAACAACUAGCUCAUAAACUCACAUCUUACAUUUGGAUUUGCAUUUCGUAUGUGAUUAUGAAUUAAUAGAUAUUUACCUAUGGAUACUACUGUCAGUACACAUAAAUUAUGGAAGAAAAUUUACCGAAAUAUAUAUUAUGAAUAUAUUCAUUUGAGACAGAGUCUCACUCUGUGGCUCAGACAUGUCUAGCUCACACUGGUUUGAGUCUUAGCAAACCUGUUGCAUGAAUCUCCCAGGUCCUUGACUAAAGAUCCGGUUCCACCGAUAAAGCUCUGGACGUUAUCCUGAGGCUUUUCGUGUCUAUAAUCUUAAAAGGAAACAACUGAGUGAUAAAAAAUAAUCUUUUCAGAGUUAUGGACAUCCUCCGCUUAAGGUUCUAGAAGCUAUGCCAGAGGCAAGGCAGGUAUGGAAAUAGUGGCCUCCAGACACAACAGGACUGAUUCACAUAUAACCUCCGGGAUGUGGCGGCACACGGAGGGCCUACACAGGUUCAAGCCAGAUGGGGCCAUAGUCCUGAGAUAUGAAAGUGAACAUAAACUCCCAUCUCUAACCAAGAAGCUGUCUUAAAUGACGUCUACUUGCAACAGACAAAUUAUUUUUCUCCAGUGGAGUCUUACUGGAAAUCUACACCCCAUAUAAGGGCAAUAACUGACAUGCAAUUCAAUUCCAUGUGAAAUUCUGGGAAGAAAUCUAUUCAGUAUUAAUAUAAACAACUUCCAUUCGAACAACACAAAUGCCAUUCCCUGAAGAUGCUGUGUAUUUUACCACAAUAAACAAUAUGUUUUGAAAAAAAA